rnacentral:lncRNA from 1 species
UAUUGAAGUUAUUUUUAUUUGAAGAAUUUUCUUGCUGUGGCUCCCGGAGUAACUGAAGUGCAUGUUUUCAUUGCAACACAUACUGUGCAUUCCUUUCUUGCUGUAGCAGUUGCCUUACAGUGUGCCUAAGACUCCAAGGGAAGAUAAAGAGCCUACAUUAUAAGUUGGAUGGAGAGAACUCACAACAUUAUUGCUAUUACUGCAGCAGGCAGCAAAAUUAAGAUCUGAGAGAUUUUCAACAUAUAACCUCCAAUUCUGCUUCCCAUGAGUAUUUCAUGCAGGUUACAUUGAAACUGAAAAAAGAAGGGCAGGGUGAAUGUGAC